GAAAUGCGAUAAGUAAUGUGAAUUGCAGAAUUCAGUGAAUCAUCGAAUCUUUGAACGCACAUUGCGCCCGCCAGUAUUCUGGCGGGCAUGCUUGUUCGAGCGUCAUUUCAACCAUCAAGCCCCGGGCUUGUGUUGGGGACCUGCGGCUGCCGCAGGCCCUGAAAACCAGUGGCGGGCUCGCUGUCACACCGAGCGUAGUAGAUGCUCAUCUCGCUCAGGGCGUGCUGCGGGUUCCGGCCGUAAAACAGCCUUAUUUUACCCAAGGUUGACCUCGGAUCAGGUAGGAAGACCCGCUGAACUUAAGC
rnacentral:misc_RNA from 1 species